UUCUUGCAGAUCCCCUGCCUGCAGCACGUGCUGAUCUCCAAGGGUGAGGCUGGAUGAAGCCAGGGGCUAUGGAAAGGGAGACUGUUUCAGAGGACUUGACACCAUCUUCAGUAAUUUCUCUGGUUCUUGGCAGCUCCAUUUGGCUGCGUCCCUACCCUGCAUAACCCUCCCAGCUAGUCUACUCCAGGGCAGCAUCCAGCUGGUGACCUGAGAGGGCAGUGGCGCACCAGUCUCCAUGAAGGUUGAGCUCCGAUGGCCAACAGCCAUUUCCACCUUGUGGUCUACAACUCUUCAUCCCGACUGCAUGGAGGUUGGUCUCUCUCUUCAGCUGGAUUUAGGCCACCAUCUGAGCCCCCGGGGUACGUUUUGUCUGACCCUGGCGCCAUUCGAACGGUUCUUCUACAGCAUCAGUUCUCUUUCCUGCCACCAUGUGAAGAAGGACAUGUUUGCUUCCCCUUCUGCCAUGAAUGGACAGGGUCCUGCUGUGUUGCCCAGGCUGGCCUUGAACUCCUGGCUUCAAACAGUCUUCCCACUUGGGCUCCCAAAGUGCUGGGAUUAAAGGGGCGAGUUACAGCACCAGGACCUGAAAUGAAAAACAUGGCCAGCAAAGCAGGUGAGGCAAAGAUCAGGAAGGACAUUAAACGCCAAACUAAGGAGCGGAACUGAAUGAGCAGUGAAGGGGAACAAUGGCUUCAGCAGGUCCACUGGGCUCCUCUUUUCUGUCAGCCUCCCCCUACCCCUCACCUCUGUACUACUCAUGUUACUAUCUACGUCUCUUCACCAAUGUCAUUGUGGAAAUAAAAGCUUAUCUGUAAGAGUA
ensembl:lncRNA PPP1R3B-DT PPP1R3B divergent transcript